rnacentral:lncRNA from 1 species
UAAAAGUGGCAAAGGAAGAGGUAAAGGUGUUAGUAAAUGUGUCCCCCUGUGAAACUGAAACAUCGUCUAGUAGUAUUUUAGGUAAAUUCUAGGCUGCCUUUGAAAAGUUGUGGAUAAGUUACGCAUAUAUCAAUUAAAAACAGCCGCAUGUACUCCUAAUGUUUUUCUUCAAAAAUUACAUGUUUGAUAUAUAUUAUGGAGUACAUGUGACUGAUUUUAAUUGGUUGUGAGUAAUUUAUCCACACCUUUUUAAAGGUAGCCUAGAUCUCGCUGUAUUUUAAGUUUUUAACGUUAAUAAGUUGAUGUGUCAAAGUUGCUGAAGUUGUGCAAAGGCAAAUCCUCAUUUUAAUCCUUCUAAUUUAU